ensembl:lncRNA
GAUGACAUGCCGUCUGAUCAGGAGGUGGUGGUGUGCUGUUCUCCUGGACAACUUCACUCCGCAAAUCGCUCAACCACGAAGGUGGGGCUUCACCAUCAAAAGACAAUGUCUUCAGGCAGAGUCCAGCGAAGCAGGUUAUUUGUGCACAUACAUUUAUUAAGAACUAAUAAUUACAUAUGUGUGUACAUGCAGAGGUAUUUUUAUUUAUUUUUUUCUAGUUGUUACAGCUACAUAGUUGUUCAGCAUCAAAGACAGCUUAACUCACUUUCAGACAGCAGCGAGUGUUUGAAAUAACUUCUGUUUGCAAUCCAAUGUGGAUUCUGUUCACCAUAUAAGACAGAAAUAUUUAUAUUCAAUGCAAAAGAUCUCCAUGUGGUUCAUACCGACUGUUGUCAGACUCCUUGUACAUACAAAAAACUCACUUGAUUAUUACAAUUAAUGACAAAAUGAAUGUUUGGAAAUGUAAACUGAUAUUUCCUACUGACACACUACAGCAAAAGAUAGAAAUAAUUGGCUUAAACCCUUUUUUUUGGUGAAAUGCUAGUGGCCUAAGACUUUUGCACAGUAUUGUGUGUGUGCGUGUGUGUGUAUACACUCAACAGUAAGGUUGUAUGUAGUCAGUGUUUAUAUAAUGUUUAAUAACAUUUAUAUUCAAGUAUGGAAAUCUUUUCUGAAAUCCUCAGUGAAGUUAUUUUGUCAGCGGGGUAACUGUGCAUAUUUGACACUUUCUCUGGUAUGCAGAUGGUUUAGGGAUGUGGUCACUCAAGAAGUUUUUCGGAAAGCAGCACACUUUGCCUGUUUAGACAGUGUGGCCAACUGGAAGAAUUUCACUCCCAUCUACCGGAAAGAGUUCAGAUGCAUGUACAGCUUCAGGGAAUGCUUGCAGUGCAGAACCCUUUUCCAGUCAUACCCACCAGAGUAUAGGGGAAGAGGCCGACAUGGUGAACAUCUGGGCUUUUACUCAGAUGUUUACACAGGAUUUUGCUCCCAGAACUGUUUUUUUUUUUUUUUUUUUUUUUUUUUUUUUUUUUUGCGGCAGGAAAAACAUUGGUGUGUUAAGUUCAUAGAAGGGAAAGAGAGAAUGAACUGAGAGCAACUGGUUUUGAUGUAUUAAUUGAUGUCAUUUAAAGUUAAACUUUGCAGUGUAUAGUGUUUUAAUAAAAAAGCUAUGGCAAACA